AAUUGACGAGUGCUACAGUUGCUUUUGUCCGCUAAAAGCUCGGUUGACUUAAUUGAGUUCGGUUUAGUUCAGUUCACAUAUAAAACAAUUAAAAUGUGUGCCAACUAAUUUGAAGAAGUGGAGUUUGGCGUCUCUGGACUGCUCUUCUCGAUUUCGCCAACAGCGCAAAAACAAAUUCAAUACUACAAUGAGACAAAGGAGACUGUUUCAUAUUUUACACUCGACACCGCUCUAGACCACCGAUAUAAUAAUUAUUUUUAGACAAAUUGAAGUAACAGCUUGCAACAAUUUUUUAUCAACAUGGAUAACAUGUUUUAGUAAACUAAAGAAAAACGGA